GGAAGGAUCAUUAACACUGUUCUUUAAACAAACAGUUUUAUUUCAAACCUCUUCAUUAUUCUGUGAACUGAAGCUCUUCUUUACGAAGGCUUCUCCUCCUACCCUAUUUUUUAAUUAAACCCCCCUUUUUUUUUCUUCAGCAAUGAAGAGAAUUAAAAACAAACAAAAAAUCUAAAAAAACUAUUAAAAAUCUCUGCUCGUUUCAGACUUGAAAUGAAAGGACCUUUUUUUUAUACGAAAUGCUGAACAACUCUUAACAACGGAUAUCUUGGUUCUCGCACCGAUGAAGAACGCAGCGAAAUGCGAUACGUAAUGCGAAUUGCAGAAUUCAGUGAAUCAUCAAAUUUUUGAACGCAAAUGGCACUCUCACGUCAGUGAGAGUACGCCUCUCUGAGUAUCGGUUUUCCUCUCAAAAGAAAUUUAAUUUCUUUUGGACAAUGAGCUUGUUCCGCUCUUUUUUAUUAAAAAAAGAACGCAUCGCUUGAAAAACCAAAAAUAUUACACGACGAAAACUUCAUGGAAAAAACAUGGGGACGUUAAAAGAUAGCGGCUUCCUUCUUAAACAAGGAAACCUCACAAACAUUUUUUGACGUCCAUUCCAAACUAUGUCUUUUUCUUGUUUUCGAACCUUGUAAACAAACCGAAAAAAACCUUUAUACAAAAAAGAAGAUCUCAGAUGAAGCGAGACUACCCGCUGGACUUAAGCAUAUUAUUAAGCGGAGGAAAAGAAACUAACAAGGAUUCCCCCAGUAACGGCGAGUGAAGCGGGAAAAGCUCAAAAUGAAAAUCGGGCGGUCAAGCGACCGCUUUCGAAUUGUAGCCUAGAGAUUCAUGGUCAGGAUGCAACCUGGGUAAAAGUCUCCUGGAAUGGGGCGUCAUAGAGGGUGAGAAUCCCGUCUUUGACUCAGGACCUGCUCUGUACGACAUGAAUUCAAAGAGUCGUGUUGCUUGGGAGUGCAGCACAAAAUGGGAGGUAAAUUUCUUCUAAAGCUAAAUACAAGCGAGAGACCGAUAGCGAACAAGUACCGUGAGGGAAAGAUGAAAAGAACUUUGAAAAGAGAGUUAAUAGUACUUGAAAUUGUUAAGAGGGAAGCACUGGAAACCAGUCACUUGCCUGGAGUUGCUACUUGUUUGCGCCACGGACCGGAUAGAGCGACAAGAGUUAUAAGCCUUUCGUCGUGAGUCCACCUAGGUUUGGGCGCAAGCGCACCGCGGCUCCUGAUUGCAGAUCAGCAUCGAUUCCCAGAGAAUUAGAUCGCCAUGGCUGAGGUAAGGUCAAGGGUGAAUUUAUUUUCAUCCGCGGCUGUACGUACAGAGCAUGUGGUGUUGAUUCUUUGCUUAGGGAUCGAGGAUCAUUUAUGAAAGCGCCCCGCUUGCGGGACGGUUGCCAGGCACCCGGCGGUGCGAAGAUGUCGAGGACAGCACUGCUGUGCAGGCCUUCAAACUGCCGCCGAGUUUGGACAACUAGACGCGUUUCUCGUGAUGCUGAUGAAAUGGUUUUCAAUGACCCGUCUUGAAACACGGACCAAGGAGUCUAACAUAUAUGCGAGUAUUUGGGUGAGUAAAACCCUGAUGCGCAAUGAAAGUAAAGAGUGCCCUGGUGCACUUGAGGUAGGAACCGCGGUUUGAACUGUAGACAACGCGGGGCACUAUCGACCGAUCGUCACUUGUGAUAGAUUUGAGUAAGAGCAUAUCUGUUGGGACCCGAAAGAUGGUGAUCUAUGCCUGAACAGGGCGAAGCCAGGGGAAACUCUGGUGGAGGCUCGUAGCGAUACUGACGUGCAAAUCGUUCGUCUGAUUUGGGUAUAGGGGCGAAAGACUAAUCGAACCAUCUAGUAGCUGGUUCCCUC
rnacentral:misc_RNA from 1 species